CUUCAAUAGACUAGAUAUACUCUAGAAGCACAGGAAACUGAACAUUCAUUACAUUAAGGUAGGUUUUAAACAAAUUAAUAAAAAUAAUUUUGUAUUUAACAUCUGAAAAAGUUCCAAUUUUUUAAAAUCCCGAAAUGUGCAUUGAUUCUUCAUACAGAAGGAAGUAGAUUUCCACCCACUUAUACAAUGGCAGGUGUUUUCAAAAACAGCUGGGCAUACCCUUCAGCCACCUGGAAAAUUUCAUCUCAUUCUUCAAAUCUUAAUUUAAGAAUUGCCUUCCCUAUGAGGUUUUUUCUAAUUAAUUUCUCCAGGCAAGCUCAGGUUCUUAGCUUUGCCUGUCUAGUACAUAUUAUACAAAUCUCUAAAUAUGUACAAUAUAUUCUGAUGGCUUCUUCCUUAUUGUAUCCUUAAUUGACUGUAAACUCCUUGAAAUUGGAAGCAUGUGUGUUGUUCAUAUUUGUACCCUUAACACAUUAAAAUACCUCAUAGAUAAUAAAUGUUUGAAAAAUGAAUGAGAGUAAUACAAUUAUCUCCCUGAACUCAGAACAUGAAUCUCUAUGAUGCAUUGACAUGAUCAACUGACUUAGUCUACGAAAACUGUGAUUAAUAAACCAGGUCUUCCUGAAAUAGUUUAGCAAGUCAGCUAUCGAUGUUCAGUACUGACUUUUCACACUAUUGCUGUAAUGUACAGGGAAUAGACCAAGUAGGAGGAAGAAGGGUACUCUUAGUUCUCUCUUUUACCAGUGUCAGCAUUAGGAAUUAUAGCACAGAGUUCCUGACCAGGUUAGCAAAACUUUAAUAUUGUCUUGGAGUUCACAGUCUUGACCCUCAUUCUUUCAUGCUUUUCUAUUAAAGGUCAUGCACAUUCAUUUCUUCAGCCACCACCCACACUAAUGAGUCCUUCAUCUCUCCUUCUCUAGUGUAGAAUUUUUUUUUUUUUUUAGUUUUAGACACAUAAAUCCAUGUAUUAACUGGUUAUCUCCUUCAGGAUGUAGAACUCCCACUGAAGCCAACUUUUCUUCCUGUGUUCCUUUUCUUGUGAACUAGAUUAUGAUGACCCCAUCAACUUUUCUGAGCUGGGAACCCUGGAGUUUUUUCAACCUCUUCCUCUCAGGCCUGCUGCUCAAUAAAUUAUUGGUUGGUACUGCUUUUGAUAUUAACACUACAUAGUUAUGUGGGUGGUAUUUGGAGUCAUUGGGAUUCAAGUUUGUUCCCAUUGUAUUUUGGCUGUGUAAAGCUUGUGAAAUUUUUUGAAGUUUUCAUCUCCAGAAUAAAUAACAGUACAGGGCAUCUUAAUUGUGUUGUUGAGAAGGUUAAAUGAAAUAAAACUGUUUGUAAAUAUCUCUUAACAUAUCCUUAGCUUAUAGUAUAUAAGAAAUGUUUUGUUAAUACUAGGUUAUUUGUAUUGUUAGUCUUCUUUUUA
rnacentral:lncRNA from 1 species